rnacentral:rRNA from 1 species
AUUGCCUCAGUACGGCGAGUGAAGCGGCAAAAGCUCAAAUUUGAAAUCUAGCACUUUCAGUGUUCGAGUUGUAAUUUGAAGAAGGUAACUUUGGUUUUGGCUCUUGUCUAUGUUCCUUGGAACAGGACGUCACAGAGGGUGAGAAUCCCGUGCGAUGAGAUGCCCAAUUCCAUGUAAAGUGCUUUCGAAGAGUCGAGUUGUUUGGGAAUGCAGCUCUAAGUGGGUGGUAAAUUCCAUCUAAAGCUAAAUAUUGGCGAGAGACCGAUAGCGAACAAGUACAGUGAUGGAAAGAUGAAAAGAACUUUGAAAAGAGAGUGAAAAAGUACGUGAAAUUGUUGAAAGGGAAGGGCUUGAGAUCAGACUUGGUAUUUUGCGUUCCCUUCCUUUUUGGUUGGGUUCCUCGCAGUUUACUGGGCCAGCAUCGGUUUGGAUGGUAGGAUAAUGACAUUGGAAUGUAGCUUUACUUCGGUGAAGUGUUAUAGACUUUGUUGAUACUGCCUAUCUAGACCGAGGACUGCGUCUUUGACUAGGAUGCUGGCGUAAUGAUCUUAAGCCGCCCGUAU